rnacentral:rRNA from 1 species
CUUAUUAGAUCAGUCACACGGAAUGAGAACAAUUUAAACACCUUAACGAGGACCAAUUGGAGGGCAAGUCUGGUGCCAGCAGCCGCGGUAAUUCCAGCUCCAAUAGCGUAUAUUAAAGUUGUUGCAGUUAAAAAGCUCGUAGUUGGAUUUGUGGUGUGUCCAGUCGGCCUUUGCUCUCUGAGUGAUUGCGCUGCACUGGUCUGCCAUGUUUGGGUGGAAUCUGUGUGGCAUUAAGUUGUCGUGCAGGGGAUGCCCAUCGUUUACUGUGAAAAAAUUAGAGUGUUCAAAGCAGGCUUAUGCCGUUGAAUAUAUUAGCAUGGAAUAAUGAUAUAGGACCUUGGUACUAUUUUGUUGGUUUGCGCACUAAGGUAAUGAUUAAGAGGGACAGUUGGGGGUAUUUGUAUUCCAUUGUCAGAGGUGAAAUUCUUGGAUUUUUGGAAGACAAACUACUGCGAAAGCAUUUACCAAGGAUGUUUUCAUUAAUCAAGAACGAAAGUUAGGGGAUCGAAGAUGAUUAGAUACCAUCGAAGUCUUAACCAUAAACUAUGCC